GCACAGCGUCACCCUUCCAUCAGUACAUUUUUAUUUUCUCGCUCCUGGUUUUCUUACGCUGAAGCUAAGCCGAGAGCUCGAUCGUGAGGAUGUCACCGAGGCCGAUCACUUGCAGUCUCCUAACUCGGCUCCUCGCGAUGCAACUCAUUCUGCUGGUUUUUGUGAUCGGCGGCAGCCUCCUCAUCCUCAUCCUGCCCGCAGCUGCUGCUGCUGCCGUUGGGACCCCGUCAGGAAACAAUAAUUCGGGCCAACAGAUACCACAUGCUGUUAGGCUUUGUACGAUCAGAGGGAUCCAAGGCAUGCGAGUGAUCAGAUGCAGUGGCGGCUCCAGGUUCUAGACACUGCAUAUUCAUUGAAAAAUAAAUCCAGUGGACUUUCCUUUGCAAAGCUCUGCUCAACUCAUCUGUGUAUCCAAAUAUUUCUUGCAUCAAGUGUGCCAUGAAAACAAACUCAAAUGAUUGAAAUGA